rnacentral:rRNA from 1 species
GACGAACGCUGGCGGCGUGCCUAAUACAUGCAAGUAGAACGCACAGUUUAUACCGUAGCUUGCUACACCAUAGACUGUGAGCUGCGAACGGGUGAGUAACGCGUAGGUAACCUGCCUGGUAGCGGGGGAUAACUAUUGGAAACGAUAGCUAAUACCGCAUAAUAUUAAUUAUUGCAUGAUAAUUAAUCGAAAGGUGCAAUUGCACCACUACCAGAUGGACCUGCGUUGUAUUAGCUAGUAGGUGAGGUAACGGCUCACCUAGGCGACGAUACAUAGCCGACCUGAGAGGGUGAUCGGCCACACUGGGACUGAGACACGGCCCAGACGCCUACGGGAGGCAGCAGUAGGGAAUCUUCGGCAAUGGACGAAAGUCUGACCGAGCAACGCCGCGUGAGUGAAGAAGGUUUUCGGAUCGUAAAGCUCUGUUGUAAGAGAAGAACGGGUGUGAGAGUGGAAAGUUCACACUGUGACGGUAUCUUACCAGAAAGGGACGGCUAACUACGUG